rnacentral:rRNA from 1 species
GGAGAUUUGUUGACUGAGUGGCGGACGGGUGAGUAACGCGUGGGUUACCUUCCUUGUACAGGGGGACCACAGUUGGAAACGGCUUCUAAUUCCGCAUAAGCGCACAACUUCGCCUGAAACCGUGUGAAAAGUUUUUUCGGUACAAGAUGGACCCGCGUCUGAUUAGCUAGUUGGUGAGGUAACGGCCCACCAAGGCGACGAUCAGUAGCCGACCUGAGAGGGUGACCGGCCACAUUGGGACUGAGACACGGCCCAAACUCCUACGGGAGGCAGCAGUGGGGAAUAUUGCACAAUGGGCGAAAGCCUGAUGCAGCGACGCCGCGUGAGCGAAGAAGUAUUUCGGUAUGUAAAGCUCUAUCAGCAGGGAAGAUAAUGACGGUACCUGACUAAGAAGCACCGGCUAAAUACGUGCCAGCAGCCGCGGUAAUACGUAUGGUGCAAGCGUUAUCCGGAUUUACUGGGUGUAAAGGGAGCGUAGGCGGUUUUACAAGUCUGAUGUGAAAGCCCGGGGCUCAACUCCGGUAUUGCAUUGGAAACUGUAGAACUAGAGUGUCGGAGGGGUAAGUGGAAUUCCUAGUGUAGCGGUGAAAUGCGUAGAUAUUAGGAGGAACACCAGUGGCGAAGGCGGCUUACUGGACGAUACUGACGCUGAG